rnacentral:rRNA from 1 species
AUUCCAGCUCCAAUAGCGUAUACUAAAGUUGUUGCAGUUAAAAAGCUCGUAGUUGAAUUUCUGGUCUCGGACAGCGGUCUGCCUCAAACGAGGUACGCACCACCUGUUCAGGUCCAUCCUCGGAGAAAACAUGCCUGUGAUUCAGUUCAUGGGUAUGGGAUCUUCGUCAUUUACUGUGAGCAAAAUAGAGUGUUCAAAGCAGGCUUAUGCCGUUGAAUACAUUAGCAUGGAAUAAUAAAAUAAGACCUUGGUCUAUUUUGUUGGUUUGUACUCCAAGGUAAUGAUUAAUAGGGAUAGUUGGGGGUAUUCGUAUUCAAUUGUCAGAGGUGAAAUUCUUGGAUUUAUGGAAGACGAACUACUGCGAAAGCAUUUACCAAGGAUGUUUUCAUCG